ACGCACGACGUGGGGCUGGGCGGGCCAGGGGCGUGGCCUCUCCAAGCCCCGCCCCAGGCCUUAUUCAGGGGCGUGGCCCAGCACCGCGAGCUUCAGCGGAACAGGGUCUCGGAGCCGGGAAGUGCCUGGGGUAGGGUCACAGGGCAAGCUCAGACCCGGUUUCACGCCGGUGACGUCGCUAGGCCACGCCCCCACCGCCGGCGGCGACAGCAUCUCUGGCUCGUCGUCUCCCAGCCCCGACAGAGCGCUUCCUCCCUGGACACAGAACCAGCCCAGUGACCCGCAGCGAGGAGCGGGCUGGAGCCCGGAGUAGCAGAGGCACCCGGAGGUCAUAGGCUCCUUUGAGGACUUGAAGAAAACCAUCAACCUUUCUGAAGAAAAAAGGGCAGAGAGACAAUUUAACGUCAGGGACUUCCUAGGGUCCCAGAAGUCAGUGGACCCCAAGUUACGGACUUUAAGAAUCUCAAAGGCCUUUCCUAGUUCUAGGAUUCUGCUAUCUUCCAACCUUCCUGUGUACCAUGUUUUAGAUAUUUCACCCACACAUUAGAUCAGUCCUUUUAGACAAAACUCAAGAUCCUCUGCCUCCAAAGUUGAAAGACAAUAGUAUGACGGGAAAUGUGAGGCCUGCCUAGCAGAAGCCAGCCAGGACAAAUGGACAUUGGAACAAUGGAAAAGUCUCAGGAGUCUUCCUAUGAUCCCAUUUGCUCAGGACUGUAGAGAACAGAGGAUUCUGAUGGAUUCCAUACAUGAUCUGACUGUGAAAGUGAUUUGGGGCAGAAAGGAGCCUAGGCCUGGAUCUGCUGUUAUCAUGUGCUGCUUCUGGCUUUGCCAUUUUCUAGCUGCGCAAACCCAGGAAGAGCACUUUUCCUCACCUGUCUCAUUUGUAAAGGGGGUAAGGUACCUUUACCUUUACCUCUUGAGGCUCAUGGGUGGAUUCAGUGAGAGAAAACAUGGAAAUCACUUUUGUCACUUAGCACUCUUGGUCUCUUUCUUGUAGGCUCUCCGAAGAGGUCAUAUUCCACUAUUUAUGACUAGUAACACCUUGGGUUUAUGUUGAAAUUUUAACCUUAAGAGGUCAGAUCUCCAUAUAUUAAAUGGUCACUGUGUUACUAGACAUUUGUUUCAGGCUGGCUGGCAGUGGGCUUGGAGGUGGGAGUGACCUUAACGCUAAUUUACUGGUGGGACUUCAGACACCUAUAAAGGUGAAGGGACUUAUCCAACAUCACUCAUUAGAGUCAGGACAGGACUAAAACAGCAUGAAAUGUAUCAUGUCUAAGCACGUGGUUCAUAUGUGAUCCUUAAUACACAACUGAUAUUUUCUUGUGUUAGGCCAACACUGUAGAGUAUAUACAACUUCAUCUAUCAGUGAAUAGAGCCCCUCUUAUCAGAGCCACUGGUUUUUAGUUUGCAAGAGAGUAAGAGACUCUACAAUGUAAAAGUUAAUAGAGACAGAGCAAGAUGUACGUUAGGAAAAUGGCUAAGGGGGUCCCUGGGUGGCUCAGUGGUUUGGCGCCUGCCUUUGGCCCAGGGUGUGAUCCUGGAAUCCGAGGAUCCAGUCCCCACAUCGGGCUCCCUGCAUGGAGCCUGCUUCUCCCUCUGCCUGUGUGUCUCUGUCUCUCUCUCUGUGUGUGUCUCUCAUGAAUAAAUACAUAAAAUCUUUUUUUUUUUUAAAAAGGAAAAUGGCUAAGAUCAGAAACUUGGCCUCAUUCCAGACAGAUUUUUCUUUUUAAGAAAAUCGCAGUGGGAUAUCAGUAGAAAAUGACAGGUUUUAGUAUUUCACAGCAACUUGGUCAGCAACAGGGAAAAGAUACCUGAGACUGGACUACAAAU